CCAACACCAGUUCCACCACCAUGUCCACCACCACAUCCAACACCACAUCCAAGACCACAUAAACCACCAGGUCCAACACCAUGCCCACCACAUCCAGCACCAUGUCCAACACCACAUCCAACACCUCAUGCACCACCAGGUCCAACACCACAUGCACCACCAGGUCCACCACCUCAACCACCACAUCCACCACCAUGUCCAACACCAUGUCCAACACCAUGUCCACCACCACAUCAAACACUACUUAAACCACCACAUCCAGCACCAGGUCCAACACCACAUCCAACACCACUUACACCACCAGGUCCAACACCACGUCCACCACCAUAUUCACCACCACAUCCAGCACCAUAUCCAGCACCAUAUCCACCACCAGGUCCAAUACCAUAUCCACCACCAUGUCCACCACCACAUACACCACCAGGUCCAACACCACAUCCAACACCACAUCAAAGACCACAUACACCACCACAUCCAACACCAGGUCCAACACCACAUCCAACACUUCAUACACACCAGGUCCAAUACCACAUACACCACCAAGUCCAACACCA
ensembl:lncRNA